rnacentral:lncRNA from 1 species
GGGUGCAGAGAAUCGGCCAAGGCAAACUCUUAUUGAGAAGGGAAGAAGAGGGAAGCAAUCGGCCAAUGGAAUCAAGAACAAAAACAUGAAACAAAAAGAAAGAGAGGGAGAGGAAACAGUCGAUCAGUAAGAGCACUAUGGAAAGCAAAAUCGAAAUAGACCUAAAAUGACAAAUACCCGAGCUGGCAACAACAAUAUUCGGCCUCAAUAAAAAUGAAAAAAAGAAAACAAACUUCAGCACCAAAGGAAGGAAAAAGAGCAAAAACGUUCAAGUCAGAACCAAUAAUGAGAAGAGAAAAAUCCUACUACUCCCUAG